CAUUCAAUCAUACACGGAUCAUUCCCUUUCUCAAAGUUUCCUAUUCUCAUGCAAAUACUUAAAAACUUUCUCCACCUACCAAAAAUUUCCUUCCAACAAUUGAUAGUUUGAUCGUAACUAUCACUUUUUCACUGUUCCUGCGCUUAAUAAAACAAAUCCAGAUUUUAACUUUAAAUUCUACGACCUACUACUUAUCUGAUUCAAAUACAAACUUAAUAUGAUUCAAUGGUUGCCAUGAGUUUUAUUUAAAUAUUGUUUCAUCCGAACAAUUGAAGAUGGAGUUUGUUCAUUCUGCAGAAAUUUUUAUUGUGCAAUUAGAUUGGGUUCUUGUCAGAGUUAUAUUUUUCUUUUUAACGACCGUGAUUUCCUUGAUUAAAUAUGUUGAUAUUCAAAAUGCAACGGAUGCAUCUGCAAGUGUUAAUCCUUCAUGGCUUCCAUCACAUUGAAAAUGAAUUCACGUGUGAUAGUAAUAGAGAUGAUUUACACAGCUAGAGGAAGGCAACAUUUGUUAGGAAUAGAGACGAUUUACACAGCUAGUGGAAGGCAACAUUUUUUUGAUAUACAGUAAGAGGAUGACAACAUUUGUGUGAUAGGAAUAAAGAUGAUAUACACAACAUCAAGAAAACAAUUCUUUGUUUGAUAAGAACACAAAUGAUAUAUACAAUCAUCGAAAAGACAACAUUUGUUUGAUAGAAACAAAAAUUAUAUAUACAACUAUAGGAAGAAUUAUUUCACUGUCUUUUUAUUUUAUUGUAUAAGGUUAAAUAUCAAGACAACUCACAUGUAUUUUAAGUUAGCAUUUUGAGUUCAUGUUGAAAUUUUUAAAAUUCAAGGACAAGUUAUUAAAUGUAAGAAUUGAUUGUUCCCAAUAAUUUUGUUAAAUAUAAUUGCGUUAAAAUUA